rnacentral:rRNA from 1 species
CCUACGGGUGACAGCUGUGAGGAAUAUUGGUCAAUGGACGAGAGUCUGAACCAGCCAAGUAGCGUGAAGGAUGACUGCCCUAUGGGUUGUAAACUUCUUUUAUAUGGGAAUAAAAUGUUCCACGUGUGGGAUUUUGUAUGUACCAUAUGAAUAAGGAUCGGCUAACUCCGUGCCAGCAGCCGCGGUAAUACGGAGGAUCCGAGCGUUAUCCGGAUUUAUUGGGUUUAAAGGGAGCGUAGGUGGAUUGUUAAGUCAGUUGUGAAAGUUUGCGGCUCAACCGUAAAAUUGCAGUUGAAACUGGCAGUCUUGAGUACAGUAGAGGUGGGCGGAAUUCGUGGUGUAGCGGUGAAAUGCUUAGAUAUCACGAAGAACUCCGAUUGCGAAGGCAGUUCACUGGACUGCAACUGACACCGAGGCUCGAAAGUGUGGGUAUCAAACAGGAUUAGAUACCCCAGUAGUC